ACGCUCGACACCUACUGGAGGCAGCAGUGGGGAAUAUUGCACAAUGGGGGAAACCCUGAUGCAGCGACGCCGCGUGAGCGAAGAAGUAUUUCGGUAUGUAAAGCUCUAUCAGCAGGGAAGAAACUGACGGUACCUGACUAAGAAGCACCGGCUAAAUACGUGCCAACAGCCGCGGUAAUCUGAGCGGGCUGGCAAGGC
rnacentral:rRNA from 1 species